UGAAACAUGGCAUAGUGGUUUGAGCAUCAGACUAUGCCUCUGAAGACCAGGGUUCAAUACCUGCUUGAC